AGCAUAUUCUUGGGCCUUUUUUCUUCAUAACAAAGCCAUGGCACUUCCUGCUGCAUUCCCUGUGAUAAAGACAUAUGGAUCUGGGAGAAAUGAAGGGGAAGUGAAAGUAAUGCAGGACUUAUUCAGACCUGCUGAAAGAAACACCCACAAUUCAUCUUGACUGCAUGCUGCAAGUAAGAAAUGAAGAAUUUCUGAAGAAAGACAUCAAAGCAACUGGAAGAGCAGACAAAAUGUAUUAUGGCAUGAAAGAGAUUUCAGCUGCAAGCAUCCUAUUUAGUAAUUUAAUGUAUUCUGUCAUUCCUCCUCUGAAAAAAAAAAUCUUUUUGUGUGUGUGAAACAAAGCACUAUGUUUUACUUUACAUUUAAGUAAAUGUAUGAAUUUGA